rnacentral:rRNA from 1 species
AGCAGCAGCCGCGGGAAUACGUAGGGUGCGAGCGUUAAUCGGAAUUACUGGGCGUAAAGCGUGCGCAGGCGGUUUGUUAAGACAGAUGUGAAAUCCCCGGGCUUAACCUGGGAACUGCAUUUGUGACUGGCCGGCUAGAGUAUGGCAGAGGGAGGUGGAAUUCCACGUGUAGCAGUGAAAUGCGUAGAUAUGUGGAGGAACACCGAUGGCGAAGGCAGCCUCCUGGGCCAAUACUGACGCUCAUGCACGAAAGCGUGGGGAGCAAACAGGAUUAGAUACCCCGGUAGUCCCUGUCUCUUAUAC